rnacentral:rRNA from 1 species
UACGAAGGGUGCAAACGUUGCUCGGAAUUAUUGGGCGUAAAGCGCACGUAGGCGGCUCUACAAGUCCCAUGUGAAAUCCCACGGCUUAACCGUGGAAGUGCAUGGGAAACUGCAGAGCUUGAGUACUUAAGAGGAUCGCGGAAUUCCCGGUGUAGAGGUGAAAUUCGUAGAUAUCGGGAGGAACACCAGUGGCGAAGGCGACUGC